rnacentral:ncRNA from 1 species
ACAGUACAAACUGAGCAGGCGAUAAGCGUCCUUGGGUGCUUGUGGGGCCGGGCCGCAUUGCGGCAGCAGACGACGUUAUAGCGUAUCUGUGGGACAGUG